rnacentral:pre_miRNA from 1 species
UAGAGGAAGCAUCCAAAGGGAUCGCAUUGAUCCCAACUAGCUAUCUCUUCCAUGGUUUAAUUUGGAUCAUGCUAUCCCUUUGGAUAUCUCCUUUG